rnacentral:rRNA from 1 species
UACGAAGGGGGCUAGCGUUGCUCGGAAUUACUGGGCGUAAAGCGCGUGUAGGCGGGUCUUUAAGUCAGGGGUGAAAUGCCAGGGCUCAACCUUGGAACUGCCUUUGAUACUGGAGACCUUGAGUCCGGGAGAGGUGAGUGGAACUGCGAGUGUAGAGGUGAAAUUCGUAGAUAUUCGCAAGAACACCAGUGGCGAAGGCGGCUCACUGGCCCGGUACUGACGCUGAGGUGGCGAAAGCGUGGGGAGCAAACAGGG